UACGUAGGGUGCAAGCGUUGUCCGGAAUUAUUGGGCGUAAAGAGCUCGUAGGCGGUCUGUCGCGUCGGCUGUGAAAACCCGGAGCUCAACUCCGGGCCUGCAGUCGAUACGGGCAAACUGGAGUGUUGCAGGGGAGACCGGAAUUCCUGGUGUAGCGGUGAAAUGCGCAGAUAUCAGGAGGAACACCGGUGGCGAAGGCGGGUCUCUGGGCAACAACUGACGCUGAGGAGCGAAAGCGUGGGGAGCGAACAGG
rnacentral:rRNA from 1 species